GCCUUGGUAGCUCAGUCAGUAGAGCAGGAGACUUUUAAUCUCAGGAUUAUGGGUUCAAAGCUCCAUGUUGGGCA